UACGUAGGGGGCAAGCGUUGUCCGGAUUUAUUGGGCGUAAAGAGCGUGUAGGCGGCCUGAAAGGUCAGCUGUGAAAACUCGAGGCUCAACCUCGAGACGUCGGUUGAAACCAUCUGGCUAGAGUCCGGAAGAGGAGUGUGGAAUUCCCGGUGUAGCGGUGAAAUGCGCAGAUAUCGGGAAGAACACCCGUGGCGAAGGCGGCACUCUGGGACGGUACUGACGCUGAGACGCGAAAGCGUGGGGAGCGAACAGGA
rnacentral:rRNA from 1 species